UUUCAAAUCUGCUUGUCCACCCUUGUGCUUACAUCUUGCCAUAUGCUAGAAAAAUAAGAAAACAACAUUAAAAUUAGUCGUCAAAUGGAUCAAUAUUAGCACAUCUGAAAGGGAAACAAUUCAAAGGAGGAAAGAAAACACAUGCGCUACUUUACAUUCACAUGAUCUUUUCUCAUUUUUUCAAAAAUGGAACUACUCUUAAGAUGGAACUAUACGUUUGUUC
rnacentral:lncRNA from 1 species